rnacentral:misc_RNA from 1 species
GUCCCAUAUCGCAGAGCCGCCAAGCGAAUUCUGACCUGCUCAAGGUCGGAGAGAAUUGAGAAUAAUGAAAAUUCACUUCGUCGAAACACGGUGACAUUGUGGAAUGGGAGAAAGACUUCUAGUCCUAACCAAAUGCAAAAUUUGACCUGA